rnacentral:rRNA from 1 species
CCAGACUCCUACGGGAGGCAGCAGUGGGGAAUAUUGCACAAUGGGGGGAACCCUGAUGCAGCGACGCCGCGUGGGUGAAGGAGUACUUCGGUACGUAAAGCCCUAUCAGCAGGAAAGAAAAUGACGGUACCUGACUAAGAAGCCCCGGCUAACUACGUGCCAGCAGCCGCGGUAAUACGUAGGGGGCAAGCGUUAUCCGGAUUUACUGGGUGUAAAGGGAGCGUAGACGGCGAUGCAAGCCAGGAGUGAAAGCCCGGGGCCCAACCCCGGGACUGCUCUUGGAACUGCGUGGCUGGAGUGCAGGAGGGGCAGGCGGAAUUCCUGGUGUAGCGGUGAAAUGCGUAGAUAUCAGGAGGAACAUCAGUGGCGAAGGCGACUAUCUGGCACAUAACUGACGCUGAGGAGCGAAAGCGUGGGUAGCAAACAGGAUUAGAUACCCUAGUA